ACCUGCUUCCACAUUACCUGAGCCACCUCGCGACAGAGGCACCAUUCUGGAACCACAGUCCAACACCGUGAUUACCACCGCUCUGCCUCACGUUCGGCCUUCAGCACCGGACGAGCUUUUUGUGCUGCUGGUGACUGCUGGAGUCCUAUCUGGGCAUCAUGGGCUCGUGCUGCGGCUGCUGUGAGAAGAAGGAGCCGUACCCCAUUACAGUAGAGCUGCACCCGCCUCCAGCGCACUUCGCCCCCACACCUUUCAACGGCCAGCCACCCCCGGACCCGCCGCACUCAGACGGGCCGCCCAGGUGGUGAGGUCAGUGUCUCACCUGGCACCUGGGAGAAUCUCCAGACUGGAGGCCGGACUUCCCAGGACGACACAUCCCCGCCAACUUCAACUUUAUAAACUACACAUGCAAUCGUGAACGAGAUCUGUGGCAAACACUCAUGUAUUUUCCAAAAAAGUGAAUUAUUUUAUAGGAAUAUUUAUCCUAACUUAUUUCUACCAGUCAGACGGAGUGAACAGCAGCAAUAAUGAGCGGCUAAACUACUUGAUGUUCUAACGCUUACGUCACGCAACACCGUUAUGUGUUUCAUUAGCAAUAAACGUUUCAAACAA